rnacentral:rRNA from 11 species
AAUGACCUGAAUAAUAUCCCAAAGGCACAAGAUUUUGUUUGAUCUUGAAAGCUAAACAGGGUCAGGUCUGAUUCAUACUGGGAUGACAGAUUACCAGUGAAUAUCAGAUACUAGAUGAGUA